rnacentral:rRNA from 1 species
GACAGAGGUGCCAAGCGUUAGGCGGAAUCACUGGGCUUAAAGCGUGUGUAGGCGGAUUGGUAAGUACCUUGUGAAAUCCCACGGCUCAACCGUGGAACUGCUUGGUAUACUGCUUAUCUUGAGCCACUUAGGGGCUGUCGGAACAAACGGUGGAGCGGUGAAAUGCGUAGAGAUCGGCAGGAACACCCAGGGGGAAACCAGUCGACUGGGCAUCUACUGACGCUGAGGUGCGAGAGCGUGGGGAGCGAACCGG